rnacentral:rRNA from 1 species
UGUUUAUCAAAAACAUUGUUUUUUGUUAGGUAUAAAAAAUAAGACCUGCUCACUGAAAGAUUUAAAGAGCUGCGAUAAAUUAAUCGUACAAAGGUAGCAUAAUCAUUUGUUUUUUAAUUGAAGACUGGAAUGAAAGGUAUAACGUGAAAAUUGAUGUCUUGAUUUAAACAUUUGAAAUUUAUUUUUUUGUUAAAAAGCAAAGAUGAGAUUAAUAGACGAGAAGACCCUAUUGAGCUUGAUUUAUUAGAUUUACGUAUAGAUUAUUAUAAUAAAUUGAAAUAAGUUUUACUGGGGCGGUAGAAGGAAUUUAAGUAUCUCUUUUUUUAAAAAUUAUUAGUUAAUAUAUUUUUAUCCAAGGCGUUUGAGAAAUAAAAAGUUACCGUAGGGAUAACAGCGUAAUUUUUUUGUAGAGUUCUUAUCGAUAGAAAAGUUUGC